UACAGAGGGGGCAAGCGUUAUUCGGAAUUAUUGGGCGUAAAGGGCGCGUAGGCGGCUUGGCAAGUGGAAGGUGAAAUCCCUCGGCUCAACUGAGGAACUGCCUUCCAGACUGCUUUGCUUGAGUCCGGGAGAGGUGAGUGGAAUUCCCAGUGUAGCGGUGAAAUGCGUAGAUAUUGGGAGGAACACCAGUGGCGAAGGCGGCUCACUGGACCGGAACUGACGCUGAGGCGCGAAAGCGUGGGGAGCGAACAGG
rnacentral:rRNA from 1 species